AUUGAACGCUGGCGGCAGGCCUAACACAUGCAAGUCGAACGAGUGGCGGACGGGUGAGUAAUGUCUGGGAAACUGCCCGAUGGAGGGGGAUAACUACUGGAAACGGUAGCUAAUACCGCAUACCAUCGGAUGUGCCCAGAGGGGAUUAGCUAGUAGGUGGGGUAACGGCUCACCUAGGCGACGGUCCCUAGCUGGUCUGAGAGGAUGACCAGCCACAAGGGAACUGAGACACGGUCCAGACUCCUACGUGAGGCAGCAGUGGGGAAUAUGGGACAAUUGGCGCAAGCCUGAUGCAGCCAUGCCGCGUGUAUGAAGAAGGCCUUCGGGUUGUAAAGUACUUUCAGCGAGGAGGCGUUGCUCGCAGAAGAAGCACCGGCUAAACCCGUGCCAGCAGCCGCGGUAAUUC
rnacentral:rRNA from 1 species